CCCUAGCCCCGAUUGCAGUGGAAAUCCUUUUAAAAAAAGAUUGUAACGAAAAGCGGGAUUAAGC
rnacentral:sRNA from 1 species